rnacentral:rRNA from 1 species
CCUACGGGGGGCAGCAGUGGGGGAUAUUGCACACUGGGGGGAACCCUGAUGCAGCGACGCCGCGUGGGUGAAGGAGUGCUUCGGCAUGUAAAGCCCUAUCGGCAGGGAAGAAGCAAGACGGUACCUGACUAAGAAGCCCCGGCUAACUACGUGCCAGCAGCCGCGGUAAUACGUAGGGGGCGAGCGUUAUCCGGAUUCACUGGGUGUAAAGGGAGCGUAGACGGCCAUGCAAGCCAGGGGUGAAAGCCCGGGGCCCAACCCCGGGACUGCCCUUGGAACUGUGCGGCUAGAGUGCGGGAGGGGCAGGCGGAAUUCCUGGUGUAGCGGUGAAAUGCGUAGAUAUCAGGAGGAACACCGGCGGCGAAGGCGGCCUGCUGGACUGCGACUGACGUUGAGGCUCGAAAGCGUGGGGAGCGAACAGGAUUAGUACCCGGGUAGUC